rnacentral:rRNA from 1 species
CGUAGGGUGCAAGCGUUGUCCGGAUUCACUGGGUGUAAAGGGUGCGCAGGCGGAAUGGUAAGUCAGAGGUGAAAUCUCACAGCUCAACUGUGAAACUGCCUUUGAUACUGUCAUUCUUGAGUUCGGGAGAGGCUGAUGGAAUUCCAGGUGUAGCGGUGAAAUGCGUAGAUAUCUGGAAGAACACCAGUGGCGAAGGCGGUCAGCUGGCCCGUAACUGACGCUCAGGCACGAAAGCGUGGGGAGCAAACAGGAUUAGAUACCCUGGUAGUCCACGCCCUAAACGAUGUAUGCUUGGUGUUGGCUCUUAGAGUCAGUGCCGUAGGUAACCUGGUAAGCAUACCACCUGGGGAGUACGCCCGCAAGGGUG